GACGAACGCUGGCGGCGUGCUUAACACAUGCAAGUCGAGCGGAGCGGCGCACGGGUGAGUAACGCGUGAGUAAAUGCCCCCCUCUUUGGGAUAACAGUUGGAAACGGCUGAUAAUACAGGAUAGUGGGGGAUGACUCGCGUCCUAUGAGCUUGUUGGUGGGGUAGUGGCCUACCAGGGCAACGACGGGUAGCCGGCCUGAGAGGGCGAACGGCCACAUUGGGGUGAGAUACGGUCCAAACGCCGACGGGGGGCAUCAGGGGGGAAUAUUUCACAAUGGGGGAAACCCGGAUGCAGCAACGCCGCGUGCGGGAUGACGGCCUUCGGGUUGUAAACCGCUUUCAGCCAUGACGCGUUAGGUGCAGAAGAAGCACCGGCUAACUACGUGCCAGCCGCCGCGGUAAUAC
rnacentral:rRNA from 1 species